rnacentral:rRNA from 1 species
UACGGAGGAUCCGAGCGUUAUCCGGAUUUAUUGGGUUUAAAGGGUGCGUAGGCGGUCUGUUAAGUCAGCGGUCAAAUGUCGGCGCUCAACGCCGGCCUGCCGUUGAAACUGGCGCGCUGGAGUUGGAGAGAAGUACGCGGAAUUCGUGGUGUAGCGGUGAAAUGCAUAGAUAUCACGAAGAACUCCGAUUGCGAAGGCAGCUCACUAGACUGCAACUGACACUGAUGCUCGAAAGUGUGGGUAUCAAA